GCAUAUCAAUAAGCGGAGGAAAAGAAACCAACAGGGAUUGCCCUAGUAACGGCGAGCGAAGCGGCAACAGCUCAAAUUUGAAAUCUGGCUAUUUUGUAGUCCGAGUUGUAAUUUGUAGAGGAUGCUUUUGGUGAGGUGCCUUCCGAGUUCCCUGGAACGGGACGCCAGAGAGGGUGAGAGCCCCGUACGGUUGGAUACCAAACCUUUGUAUAGCUCCUUCGACGAGUCGAGUAGUUUGGGAAUGCUGCUCUAAAUGGGAGGUAUAUCUCUUCUAAAGCUAAAUAUAGGCUAGAGACCGAUAGCGCACAAGUAGAGUGAUCGAAAGAUGAAAAGCACUUUGAAAAGAGAGUUAAACAGCACGUGAAAUUGUUGAAAGGGAAGCGCCUAUGACCAGACUUGUUUCUUUCAGUUUUGUUAGUUUUCGGACUGAUUUACUCUGUUAGUACAGGCCAGCAUCAGUUUGUUGUCAGGGAGAAAGGCUUAGGGAAUGUGGCUCUUUCGGGAGUGUUAUAGCCCUUUGCAUAAUACCUUUCGGCAGACUGAGGACCGCGCUUCGGCAAGGAUGCUGGCGUAAUGGUCAUCAGCGACCCGUCUUGAAACACGGACCAAGGAGUCAACCUUAUGUGCGAGUGUUUGGGUGUAAAACCCCAGCGCGUAAUGAACGUGAACGUAGGUGAGAGCUUCGGCGCAUCAUCGACCGAUUCUGAUGUUCUCGGAUGGAUUUGAGUAAGAGCACACAGGGUUGGACCCGAAAGAAGGUGAACUAUGCUUGUAUAGGGUGAAGCCAGAGGAAACUCUGGUGGAGGCUCGCAGCGGUUCUGACGUGCAAAUCGAUCGUCAAAUAUGAGCAUGGGGGCGAAAGA
rnacentral:rRNA from 1 species